UGGGGAAUAUUGCACAAUGGGCGAAAGCCUGAUGCAGCAACGCCGCGUGAGUGAUGAAGGUUUUCGGAUCGUAAAACUCUGUCCUCAAGGAAGAUAAUGACGGUACUUGAGGAGGAAGCCCCGGCUAACUACGUGCCAGCAGCCGCGGUAAUACGUAGGGGGCUAGCGUUAUCCGGAUUUACUGGGCGUAAAGGGUGCGUAGGCGGUCUUUCAAGUCAGAAGUUAAAUUCUACGGCUCAACCGUAGCCAGCUUUUGAAACUGGAAGACUUGAGUGCAGGAGAGGAGAGUAGAAUUCCUAGUGUAGCGGUGAAAUGCGUAGAUAUUAGGAGGAAUACCAGUAGCGAAGGCGGCUCUCUGGACUGUAACUGACGCUGAGGCACGAAAGCGUGGGGAGCGAACA
rnacentral:rRNA from 1 species